rnacentral:rRNA from 1 species
CCUACGGGAGGCAGCAGUGAGGAAUAUUGGUCAAUGGGCGUAAGCCUGAACCAGCCAAGUCGCGUGAGGGAUGAAGGUUCUAUGGAUCGUAAACCUCUUUUAUAAGGGAAUAAAGUGCGGGACGUGUCCCGUUUUGUAUGUACCUUAUGAAUAAGGAUCGGCUAACUCCGUUCCAGCAGCCGCGGUAAUACGGAGGAUCCGAGCGUUAUCCGGAUUUAUUGUGUUUAAAGGGUGCGUAGGCGGCCUUUUAAGUCAGCGGGGAAAGUCUGUGGCUCAACCAGAGAAUUGCCGUUGAAACUGGGAGGCUUGAGUAUGUUUGAGGGAGGCGGAAGGCGUGGUGUAGCGGUGAAAUGCUUAGAUAUCACGCAGAACCCCGAUUGCGAAGGCAGCCUGCCAAGCCAUGACUGACGCUGAUGCACGAAAGCGUGGGGAUCAAACAGGAUUAGAUACCCUUGUAGUC